rnacentral:rRNA from 1 species
AUGAAGACCCGUAUGAAAGGCAUCACGAGAGUUUAACUGUCUCUACUUUCUAAUCAAUGAAAUUGAUCUCUCCGUGCAGAGGCGGAGAUAAAAACAUUAGACGAGAAGACCCUAUGGAGCUUCAAACACUUAAAUUAAUUAUGUAAAACAUAAUAUUCCAAGGAUAUAAAUAAAUAAUAUAAUAUUUCUAAUUUAAUAUGUUUUUGGUUGGGGUGACCAAGGAGAAAAAUUAAUCCUCCUAAUCGAUUGAGUAUUCAAUACUUAAAAAUCAGAAUGACUAUUCUGAAUGAUAAUAUAUUUAUCGAAAUAUGACCCAGGACUUACCUGAGCAAUGGACCAAGUUACCCUAGGGAUAACAGCGCAAUCCUUUCCCAGAGUCCUAUCGACGAAAGGGUUUAACACCUCGAA